GCGAGCGAAGCGGGAAGAGCUCAAAUUUAUAAUCUGGCACCUUCGGUGUCCGAGUUGUAAUCUCUAGAAAUGUUUUCCGCGUUGGACCGCACACAAGUCUGUUGGAAUACAGCGGCAUAGUGGUGAGACCCCCGUAUAUGGUGCGGACGCCCAGCGCUUUGUGAUACAUUUUCGAAGAGUCGAGUUGUUUGGGAAUGCAGCUCAAAUUGGGUGGUAAAUUCCAUCUAAAGCUAAAUAUUGGCGAGAGACCGAUAGCGAACAAGUACCGUGAGGGAAAGAUGAAAAGCACUUUGGAAAGAGAGUUAACAGUACGUGAAAUUGUUGGAAGGGAAACGCUUGAAGUCAGACUUGCUUGCCGAGCAAUCGGUUUGCAGGCCAGCAUCAGUUUUCCGGGAUGGAUAAUGGUAGAGAGAAGGUAGCAGUUUCGGCUGUGUUAUAGCUCUCUGCUGGAUACAUCUUGGGGGACUGAGGAACGCAGUGUGCCUUUGGCGGGGGUUUCGACCUCUUCACACUUAGGAUGCUGGUGGAAUGGCUUUAAACGACCCGUCUUGAAACACGGACCAAGGAGUCUAACAUGCUUGCGAGUAUUUGGGUGUCAAACCCGGAUGCGUAAUGAAAGUGAAUGGAGGUGGGAACCGCAAGGUGCACCAUCGACCGAUCUGGAUUUUUAAUGAUGGAUUUGAGUAAGAGCACGUAUGUUGGGACCCGAAAGAUGGUGAACUAUGCCUGAAUAGGGCGAAGCCAGAGGAAACUCUGGUGGAGGCUCGUAGCGGGUUCUGACG
rnacentral:rRNA from 1 species